UUGAAAACUACAAUCCAGGAAUGGCUGCCUCAGCACUGACCCACAGACAGACGCUUGUAUACAGAGAGGCAUUUAAUGAUAUAUUUCUGUCCUUUUAUUUUAGAGGAGAAUUUUGAUCCUAAGGAAGAAUACUUUGUCUAAGUUGCACCGUUAUGUACUAACAGAACUUAUAUUAUAGCAUACUCAUCUUCCCUUAUGGUCUAGAGAUCUUUGGCCCAAUGGCCUUUGGAAAUUCAGAGAUUUAAAAAAAAAAUGGCAUUUUAUACAAUUGCACUAAUGAUCUUCACAGUGGCAAUAUUUCACAGUUGGCCAAAAAAAGAACUGCCAAUUUAUUUCUUUAAGAUUACCAUAAAUUUCUAUAUUUGCUGUUUGGGUGAUGAAAGAAAGUUCCCAGGCUAACUCAUGCACAGGAGGUACACUGUCAUCUUAUAGGUAGGGUGCUGACAAACAGCUUAGGGCCCAUGGUGGCAGCAAAGAAGCAUAGUCGCCUAGGUCUUCAGAGAAAUGAGAUCACGUGUUCUGCCAUUUGCAUGGUUUGGGGAGAGAGAGAUGCUAUAGUUUGACUUUUGCUUCUAACUAGUUUGGUUGUUGCCUUGAUCUUAUUGAAAUCUGAACAAUUGGAUAUUACUUUGUAGCUACUCUAUGCUUUAGGUGCCUCCUAACCUGACUUUGCAAGGCCUUUCACUAGUUACAAAUAUUUUCUGUCGUUUUUCAUUGAAGUUCUUGGAAAAUCUGGUUCCCAUAGCCAAUCAUUUGAAUACAGGUCGCCCUGGCCGCAAUGAUCAAUGGUUAGUUUAUGGUUUACUUGUCAGAACAGCAGGAAAGGUUUCAUCAGCCAUACCUCAGAGAAGGAGUAGGUAAGGCAUUGGAGACUAUGGACAAGCUUGUUUGCUUGGAAGAGGCCACAAGAAUAACCACGGUGUUACAAGUUCAUCUGCCAAACUGAUUCUGGUUGUUGGAUGCUUUGUUUGUAGUGUUGUUAGAUCCACUCAUUCCUCGAAGACUUUUACCAAGUUCUAUAAUUGUCUAAGCAUCAAAAACACACUGAUUCCUAUGUAUCACCGAGACCCAUCCAGACUUGACCCUGAAUGAAUGAAGGAGAAAAUAAGGAUAAAGAACACUUUUUAUAUAUUUACUGUUUGGGCCCAGAGGGAGGUUUGACUGUAUGCUUUUCAAAUUAUAAAUGAUGUCACAGUAAGCUAAGCAUCUUGUCAUUGCCACUUCGUGCAUGUCUUCCCUCAGGUAGUUUUGUUCAGGAACAAGAAAAGUCAGAAGUGGAAUCUAAUUUUUUCCACAUAUUCAUAUGGAACAUUUAUUCACAGUUGGAGCUGACAUUGCUCACAAUGUUGUUUCGGAUAUGUGUUGAUGUAUUUUAUUCAUAUCAAUGAGUAAAAUUUAGAAAUAUUAAGAGUUAGAAAAGCUGUCUCAAGAAUUGAGUGGAGCAUGAAUAAUAGAAGAUAUUCUUUGUACUCAUUGGAUAUAACUACCUUAUUGCUCAAAUAUGAUUGAAUUAUUGUGAGACAGGAGGUCUUUGGAGUCCUAUGACCAUGGGACCCACGAGUAUCAUUUAUAUUAAGUUAUGUUGAAAAUGCUAUGAAAUGCUGCAUAGCAUGCUUUAUACUGCUGGCCAGUAUUAUAAAAACCAGAUGACUAAGAAGAGAUGAAACUACUAUUACCAUAGCUGCUACUACUGCUACUAUGGCUACUACUACUACUACUACUACUACUACUACUACUAUUACUACUACUACUACUUAAGUUAAUGAAAUCUAUAAAGGAUUUAAUCAGAUGGUUGACUAAGCUUUGCAUAACUCUCUGGUUAUUAAAUGUCAUUCCUAUUUCCAAAACUGUGUGUGGAGGCAAAAAGUGACACUUAUCUUUGAGCUCCUGUAAAAUUCUAUUGAAGUUUCAAAUUAUCUUCAUUUUUGUUUCUUUGCUAUGACUCACUAUAGUAUUUGUGUCUGGCAUUUGAGAAUGGAACGAUAUACAUUAUGAUAUUUUGUGUACUGCCCACUGUAUAUUCUGUACCCAAGAAAAAGUGAAUCCAAACUUAAGUCUUGCACCAAAUGCAGAAAUCUGAGCUAGAGAAUUACGUUUCAACCAUUCUUGUAAUACUUCCUUGUCGCAGACCCUCUGGGUCCCUGGUCUGCGAGGAACGGGAUUACUUAAGCAGAUGGGCAAAAGAGUCGGAUGAAAUGACAAUCAGACACACGCAAGAGAGGUGUUGAAUCUGAAUGUAAUGUUCUGGUUGAGCUUCAGACUUAUAUUACAAUGAAUUAUCAGAGGAUACAAAUCACAAAAGACAAGAUACACUGAAAUUCACCAGUUACAGCAGAAAGGAAUUUGCAGGGACUAAUUAAAUGUUUACAUUAGGGAUAACAAGCCCUGCCUAGGAUCAGCCUAAUGCCAGGCAAGAAUUUCACACUUUAAGGUUAAAAGCAUCAGGGGGUUGUUAACUCUUGACAGGCCUUAAGAGUAAUGUGUUAUCACAGAGCUCUAAAUUCUUAGGUCUAGUAAAACUUAUCCUGUCUGGUGAGUUCCCCCUUAUCAGGGUAGUAUAUCAACUUAUACUUGACAUGGAAUGUAGCCUGUAGUAAAAGAUUUCUAUCUCAGUGAGACUUUUAGUCUCUUUCUGCAGACAGCUGAGUUAAUGGCAAGUGCUUUAUUUUUUUAUGGUAGAGCUUAAUUAGUUACUGAAUAGGUUAAACUCCUUGCUGCUAUCAGGAAUCUAAGAACACUGGGAAAAGGCUUUAGCUAUGUUAGAAUUCAAUCUUAAAAGUCAUUUACUAUAAGGUAAUGCUUAAUAGAGUGCACGUGAAUCUAUACACUAGACUAAUGUGGUAGAAAUUUGAAUAUUAUGGGUUAGGGAAAGAAAUGCCAUAACUCUGGGAGGAAAAUUUCCAUGGAACUCUUAUCCUCGUGAAACAGCUUCCAGGCUUUUCGCCUGACAAACCGAUCCAAACUGGAGAGUUGACUUUCGCCAGACAUCUAGGAGGAAAGUCCUAGAAAUUCAUUUCUCAUGAGCAGCUUUUUGGCAUUUCUGCCUCACAAGCUGACUCCACCAGAGUGCCCUGACACUUCCUCUCUCCCUCCUCUACGAUUUUCACAGACAAGGCAUAAUUCCUGUGAUUUGAAUUGAAAGAGGGACCAGCUCUGUGCUGAGUGAUGAGAUCUGAGCGCAGAAUAAAAUAUUCUUGAGUUAAUUUGCAUAAUAGAAUCCGAUUGGUUACAAAGCUGUGUUUGUUGAAGGAGAGACCAGAGUCCCUUUGCUCACCCACAAGGAAACCUUGCAGAUACAAAAAUAGGAUUUUGAGCUCUGGUAAGAACCUUGAUAAUAUACUUUGCAUAAUAAUAACCUGUCUUUAGCUGUAAAUUAGCUUGCUAGAUAUAAAAAGAUUGGGUCAGUGUGUCUGAUUCUUCCAGCUCUGUGGGGAGGAGAAAACUGAAAACCAAAUCUGCUUGCUUUUUGCUAACUGUUUUUGUCUUUCAUUUCCUACCCGAUAACAAUUUCCAGCAGGAGUCCAAAUAUACUUAAACACCCAUAUAUGUCAUUUUCUUUUAAGGAGACAAGCAGGCUCAGCAGCCUGCUUAAGAAGGACUCUCUGCUCUCUAGAUAGAGGGGUGAGCCUUCCACUUAGAACUGGUGAUUUUGCAAAUCCAUUUCCUGUCACACUAUUACUCUUGUGACUUUCAACAACAUUUAUUUUUUCCCUCCAAGCACUGUGCUCCCAUCGUAAAGUGAAGUCUUCUUACAUGUGUUAGUGGAACCCUGAUGCUUAGGCAUCCUGGCCAGCUGCUAGGAAGAGCUUUAAUGGGAAGAUUGCCAUUGGGGUGGCAAGUGCUUUGGGGUUUUUUAUUAAUAUUAAUUAGAACAUUGAUAGAUUUCUCUAAUUAUUACCCACAUCAAGGUCUCCUUAGGAGGGCAGCCUUUUAUUAAUUUUUUUGUGAGAUCUGUGCUAAAUUUCUACAGUAUUCAACAGUCCAGUCUUGAGAAGUUCCAGGUCUUUCUU
rnacentral:lncRNA from 1 species